GCUACACAUGCAGUCGACGAUGAAGCCGGAGCUUGCUCUGGUGGAUUAGUGGCGAACGGGUGAGUAACACGUGAGUAACCUGCCCUUGACUCUGGAAUAAGCGUUGGAAACGACGUCUAAUACCGGAUACGAGCUUCCGCCGCAUGGUGAGGAGCUGGAAAGAAUUUCGGUCAAGGAUGGACUCGCGGCCUAUCAGGUAGUUGGUGAGGUAAUGGCUCACCAAGCCUACGACGGGUAGCCGGCCUGAGAGGGUGACCGGCCACACUGGAACUGAGACACGGUCCAGACUCCUACGGGAGGCAGCAGUGGGGAAUAUUGCACAAUGGGCGCAAGCCUGAUGCAGCAACGCCGCGUGAGGGACGACGGCCUUCGGGUUGUAAACCUCUUUUAGUAGGGAAGAAGCGAAAGUGACGGUACCUGCAGAAAAAGCACCGGCUAACUACGUGCCAGCAGCCGCGGUAAUACGUAGGGUGCAAGCGUUAUCCGAAUUAUUGGCGUAAAGAGCUCGUAGGCGUUUGUCGCG
rnacentral:rRNA from 1 species